GAAAGAUGAAAAGAACUUUGAAAAGAGAGUUAAACAGUACGUGAAAUUGUUGAAAGGGAAACGAUUGAAGUCAGUCGUACCAGCGGGAAAUCAACCUUUCGUGUGGGGGUUUUGGAGUUUUGAAGAGUGUCAAAACCUUUGAGAUUUCAAAAUUUUCGCUCCUUUGGUGUACUUUCUCGUGGGUAGGUUAACAUCGAUUUUGAUCAUCAUAAAAAGAUUGGAGGAAUGUAGCUUCGAUCUUGUAUUGAAGUGUUAUA
rnacentral:rRNA from 1 species